GCCUUCGUUGUGUAGUGGUCAGUAUGCUAGGCGCGUUUUCUAGAGGUCAGUGGUUCGAGUCCCGGCGAAGGCA
rnacentral:tRNA from 1 species